rnacentral:misc_RNA from 1 species
GAUGAAGAACGUAGCGAAAUGCGAUAAGUAAUGUGAAUUGCAGAAUUCAGUGAAUCAUCGAAUCUUUGAACGCACAUUGCGCCCGCCAGUAUUCUGGCGGGCAUGCCUGUUCGAGCGUCAUUACAACCCUCAGGCCCCCGGGCCUGGCGUUGGGGAUCGGCGGAAGCCCCCUGCGGGCACAACGCCGUCCCCCAAAUACAGUGGCGGUCCCGCCGCAACUUCCAUUGCGUAGUAGCUAACACCUCGCAACUGGAGAGCGGCGCGGCCACGCCGUAAAACACCCAACUUCUGAAUGUUGACCUCGAAUCAGGUAGGAAUACCCGCUGAACUUAAGCAUAUCAAUAAGCGGAGGA